UGUAGUAAUUCACAGUAAGACUUAACCACUUGCCUUCUCCAUCAGGAUUGGCUAGCUGAUGAUCGGCAACAACUUUGAACACGUUUUGAGCAUUUGGCGUCAAACUCUGUAAAACUAUUGAAGCCGUCUUCACAGUUUGUGUGCUGCCACUGUGAGCUAGAAUCGGAGGAAAGAAUAUUCCUUCGACCUUGUAGGGUGCAUAGGUAGGAACGUGGUACCAGUACCAAUUGAACUCGGUGUGUACCAUCUUCUUGUUCCAUACUGGUAGAAGCAAUGAAAAAUAUUCAAGAACAACAUUUCCCUAUAUAUAUAUAUCAUCAACAACAGAACUACAAAAUGAGAAGAAACUUACAUAAAGGUGCAUUCACAUGAUCAAUGGAAGCCACCAUGAGAAUAUGAGAACAAGCUGCAAGUCUAGCCAGAAAUUGCUGAGACUCUGAAUCACGCAAACAGGGCCCGUCAAUAUUGUUCACCACAACACAAAUAAAAGAUUCACCAUCCUCCAAAUGUGGGCCAUCCAGAAAUGAAAUAAGAUCAUCCGUGGAUUGGGUAUGAAAUGGUUGCUGGUUCUUAACAUGAUUUUCCAAUUUCCUUUGGGUUUUCAACCGCUCCCACAGAAGUUCAGCUAAUGUAACUGUAACCUACAAAUUCCACAUCCAUGAAUUGUUUAGCAUUGUGAGGAUACUGAAAAUUUAUCUUCAAGUCAUCCAUAAAAAGAAUCAGUAUGGAGACAACCAUAUAAAAGUAGUGAAAAAACAUACAUAGGGGAUCCCCGUGUUCUGAUAGAACUGUAACAUUACUCUACAUAACCAGUUAUUAUAAAUGUUGAAUAUCUUAUAAAGAUGAAAUACAAAGAGCAUAGAUGAAAUUACGAUAAUUGUAAAGGGAAGUUACAAGAAAAGGAUGCCAAAUUAAGUUUUAAUUUAGACUACCCAAAAUUUGGUAUUCCUGACUUAAGAUAAUGUUUCCUCUGAACAGUCUUAGACUCGGGCACAAUUUUUUGGCACAGCAAUACAUGGUAAUAUUUCUAGUCGAUCGAGAAAUUCUAUUGGUGGUCAUGUUUUUUUACCAUACCCUUACCCAAAUGUUGUCCAAGGUAGUGAGUGUAUUUCUUCAACAUUUUCAAGAAGGUCCUCAGGCAUAGUUAAUAGCAAGCACACCUAAGUAAGUAUAAAACUCUUAUACAUACCAAAAAGUUUUUACUCAUUUAACUAGCUAACAAUGAUAUAUUAGACCUUUGUGAAAGAGAGGAAUGUUGAAGUAACAUUAACGAUUAUAGAAGCAUUAAGUAGCUAGAAAAUUGUCGUUAUCAUCGAAUUGCUGCCAAAUUUUUCACAGGGUUAGUACUUGAGAAGUUGAUGGGGAAGAAGAGUCAAAGAGCAUCCUGUUGUUAUGUCCUGAAAGGAAUUUAGAAGGUCCUUGAAUUCAUAUUGUAAGAGUCAAAGUUUCAUUGCAAUAGUUCCCCAAUUAAAUUACUUCAGCAGAUAAAGAAGACAUCCUGCAGCUUGACCACAAAAACUGCAAUUUGUAACAUCUGUGUUUUGUAAUUUGUCUGGUAAGAUGUUCCAAUAUUUAAGUAUUAAAUCAUACUAACAACAAAGAUGAUAGCAAAAUGAUCAGUCAAUUCAUUGUAGUUUAAGAUCCAUUACUAGUUGAUUACAACCAUUUAAACAAAAUCUUUGUACAGUCUUACCCUCAUUUUCUUUCCCAAAAAAGUAGAAUUAUUUAAAUUAUCUGCAUAAAAAUGAAAUAAAAAUAUCUUCAUUUGCAUUUAUUUCAGCUAUACGGUCUUUGAUUUCUCUUGUACAGUUAACUUCACUAAAACCCGCAGUUCAAGAUCUAGAAUGAGGUUACAAUCCAUUGCCAAUCAACUACUAUUUUUCCCCGAAGGAUGAGAAGAUGAGAACAAAAUGCGAACAACUUGCCACCAGAAAUCCAUGUUACAACUGAGUUAUGUUUAGUUAAUCUUCAUAAUCCAGCCAACAUCUUCACAUCAAAUUAAAUGAAGAACAAAUGUGUAAAGAGACAAGAAGAUAAUGAAUGAUUACCCAUGACCAAUAACACAAAGAUAUAACAGAAAACAAGCAUAAAAAGGUGAGAUUAUAAAGUAACAACAUCAUUAUCCGUACCUGUUUAAGAUUGAUUGACUGAAGAUAUCCAUUGAUCACUACAACAGAAUAAUCAGUUAAUGCNGCAAGGGAAAAAAACAUCACAUUUGUUAUGCAAAGGCAUAUGUAGUAAUUCACAGUAAGUACUUAACCACUUGCCUUCUCCAUCAGGAUUGGCUAGCUGAUGAUCGGCAACAACUUUGAACACGUUUUGAGCAUUUGGCGUCAAACUCUGUAAAACUAUUGAAGCCGUUCUUCACAGUUUUGUGUGCUGCCACUGUGAGCUAGAAUCGGAGGAAAGAAUAUUCCUUCGACCUUGUAGGGUGCAUAGGUAGGAACGUGGUACCAGUACCAAUUGAACUCGGUGUGUACCAUCUUCUUGUUCCAUACUGGUAGAAGACAAUAGAAAAUAAUUCUAAGAACAACAUUUCCUAUAUAUAUAUAUAUCAUCAACAACAGAACUACAAAAUGAGAAGAAACUUACAUAAAGGUGCAUUCACAUGAUAAAUGGAAGCCACCAUGAGAAUAUGAGAACAAGCUGCAAGUCUAGCCAGAAAUUGCUGAGACUCUGAAUCACGCAAACAGGGCCCGUCAAUAUUGUUCACCACAACACAAAUAAAAGAUUCACCAUCCUCCAAAUGUGGGCCAUCCAGAAAUGAAAUAAGAUCAUCCAUGGAUUGGGUAUGAAAUGGUUGCUGGUUCUUAAGAUGAUUUUCCAAUUUCCUUUGGGUUUUCAACCGCUCCCACAGAAGUUCAGCUAAUGUAACUGUAACCUACAAAUUCCACAUCCAUGAAUUGUUUAGCAUUGUGAGGAUACUGAAAAUUUAUCUUCAAGUCAUCCAUAAAAAGAAUCAGUAUGGAGACAACCAUAUAAAAGUAGUGAAAAAACAUACAUAGGGGAUCCCCGUGUUCUGAUAGAACUGUAACAUUACUCUACAUAACUAGUUAUUAUAAAUGUUGAAUAUCUUAUAAAGAUGAUAUACAAAGAGCAUAGAUGAAAUUACGAUAAUUGUAAAGGGAAGUUACAAGAAAAGGAUGCCAAAUUAAGUUUUAAUUUAGACUACCCAAAAUUUGGUAUUCCUGACUUAAGAUAAUGUUUCCUCUGAACAGUCUUAGACUCGGGCACAAUUUUUUGGCACAACAAUACAUGGUAAUAUUUCUAGUCGAUCGAGAAAUUCUAUUGGUGGUCAUGUUUUUUUACCAUACCCUUACCCAAAUGUUGUCCAAGGUAGUGAGUGUAUUUCUUCAACAUUUUCAAGAAGGUCCUCAGGCAUAGUUAAUAGCAAGCACACCUAAGUAAGUAUAAAACUCUUAUACAUACCAAAAAGUUUAUACUCAUUUAACUAGCUAACAAUGAUAUAUUAGACCUUUGUGAAAGAGAGGAAUGUUGAAGUAACAUUAACGAUUAUAGAAGCAUUAAGUAGCUAGAAAAUUGUCGUUAUCAUCGAAUUGCUGCCAAAUUUUUCACAGGGUUAGUACUUGAGAAGUUGAUGGGGAAGAAGAGUCAAAGAGCAUCCUGUUGUUAUGUCCUGAAAGGAAUUUAGAAGGUCAUUGAAUUCAUAUUGUAAGAGUCAAAGUUUCAUUGCAAUAGUUCCCCAAUUAAAUUACUUCAGCAGAUAAAGAAGACAUCCUGCAGCUUGACCACAAAAACUGCAAUUUGUAACAUCUGUGUUUUGUAAUUUGUCUGGUAAGAUGUUCCAAUAUUUAAGUAUUAAAUCAUACUAACAACAAAGAUGAUAGCAAAAUGAUGAGUCAAUUCAUUGUAGUUUAAGAUCCAUUACUAGUUGAUUACAACCAUUUAAACAAAAUCUUUGUACAGUCUUACCCUCAUUUUCUUUCCCAAAAAAGUAGAAUUAUUUAAAUUAUCUGCAUAAAAAAUGAAAUAAAAAUAUCUUCAUUUGCAUUUAUUUCAGCUAUACGGUCUUUGAUUUCUCUUGUACAGUUAACUUCACAAAACCCGUAGUUCAAGAUCUAGAAUGAGGUUACAAUCCAUUGCCAAUCAACUACUAUUUUUCCCCGAAGGAUGAGAAGAUGAGAACAAAAUGCGAACAACUUGCCACCCAGAAAUCCAUGUUAUAACUGAGUUAUGUUUAGUUAAUCUUCAUAAUCCAGCCAACAUCUUCACAUCAAAUUAAAUGAAGAACAAAUGUGUAAAGAGACAAGAAGAUAAUGAAUGAUUACCCAUGACCAAUAACACAAAGAUAGAACAGAAAACCAGCAUAAAAAGGUGAGAUUAUAAAGUAACAACAUCAUUAUCCGUACCUGUUUAAGAUUGAUUGACUGAAGAUAUCCAUUGAUCACUACAACAGAAUAAUCAGUUAAUGCCGUUGAAGCAAAGUCUUCUAUCAACCCCUUCUUUGACCCAAAACCAUACAACAGAAGCCCAAAUCCACACCUUAGACACAGAUAAUGAAAAAACUCAACACCAAUACAUAAUUUGUAAAAAUAAAAUACCCUUUGAACUAAAAAUGCCUACAAAUUCAUCCAACACAGACAAACAAAGAAGAAGGCAGAAAUUUACCUUAACAUAAAAACCCAUUCAGUAUACAACUUCUUGUAACUUUCUACAAGAGCAUUGAUCUCUUUCUCGUGCUUGAACUCAAGUUUAGCAUAUGCUUCUCUUAAUUCCUACAAGAUUGGCAUAAAAACUCAUUCCUUUUCCAAAGUUAUAUGGAAGAUUACACAAUAAUACUAAAGAAACCCCAACAAAUUACCUGCUCGUCUACGAGAUUGAUAUCAGAAACUUUGCGCGCUGAUUUCUUGCCAGAACUGCACAAUUCUUUUGCUAAAAAGUAGUUUCUUGAGAACCCGAACUCCUCUUCCUCGGGGUCAUUUGGCUCCAUACUAGAGAUGAAGAGAGGAGACAGAGUUCAGUUCAAAACUAACAAAUUACUCGUAUUAUUUUGGCUUAGUUUUUAGUUGGAGAAGAAUUUGUUGUUUGAAAAUCCAUCUGCACAACGAAAAUAUAAUACUAACAUUUUCGAAAAAAACAAAUAAAAAACACUAGACAUCAGGAGCUUGAGCCAAAUCAAAAUGGGAUGUAUCUAAAAUAGUUGAAACCUUAAAAUGAAGUUAAAAAAUUAUUUUAUAGGCCAUAAGAAAAGCAAUAACAGAUGGAAAAUUAGAACAUAAUUCAGUGCACAUGAAUUAGAAUGAGGGCUAACGUCUUCAGACCUCCAAGUAUUCCAUAAAUUUGGGCGACAUUGCCGCACACAGAAUAUUUAAACAACUAUGUAUCUAUCGUGUUGGAUCUUCUAUUCUCUCGAAAAGGAUAGUUACACCACUUAAUUUAUUUGUAAUAUUUGCAAUAGAUGAAUCAUAGUGAAAACGGUGGACUAAAUUUUUUUUACCAGAGAGUAUAUUUCGCCGUGGUGCAGACCCUGUUUAAUUGAAGACAGCAGAAACGUGAAAUCCUCUGCUGUGGCCAAGAAAUUCGCCGGCGAACCUGAAACCAAUAAAAUCUCAUCAACAAACAGCAUACGCAUAGUUCAGAUGUGCUUGUAUAAUUGACUUGAACAAAGAAAAGUAGAUGGCUUGCCCUUCUAUUGUUUGCUUCUUGAAAAUUAGGGGUUUCGAUCGGGAGGAAGAAGAAGAUGUGGUUAAAGAAUUAGGGCUUUUCUUCAAUUCCUUAAAUUUGUUAACCGCCAGAUAUUUAGUUCAGCCCGGAAGCAUAAAUAUAUUAACACUUAUUUUCCUCACUAUUCUCAAACUAACAAUUAAAAAAAAAAUUAAAAAUUAAACUCUUAACUUAUAGCCACAAAAGUCGUGUGUGAAUUUAAAAAAAUAGAGAGACAUUACACGGCAACAAUUUACUCUCUAUAUUAUUAAUUAAUUAUUAUAUAUAUAUAUAUAUAAUUUACUCUCUAUAUAAUUUUUUUAUUAAUUAUAUAAAUAUAAUUAUAUAAAUAAUACAUAAAAGAGGAGUUUUUCCCCUCUAUUUCUUCUCUAUCUUUUUUCUUUCUCUUUUCCCAUCAAUUUUUUCACUAUUUUUUAUUUUUAUUUUUUUAUAUUUUAAUUCUUUCCUAAACAGUCACAUUUGAUUAAAAAAUGCAAUAUGCAUUUUAAAUUUAAUAUAGUAUAAAAAUCAUGAAAAAUGAAUUUAAAACGAAUAACUUAUGAAAAAAAAUUAAAAUUUAAAAUAUUUUAUUUUCUCUCUUUAUUAAAAUUUUACAACUUUAUUUAUGUUUGUGUGUGAAAUAUNUUUUUUUAUAUUUUAAUUCUUUCCUAAACAGUCACAUUUGAUUAAAAAAAUGCAAUAUGCAUUUUAAAUUUAAUAUAGUAUAAAAAUCAUGAAAAAUGAAUUUAAAACGAAUAACUUAUGAAAAAAAAUUAAAAUUUAAAAUAUUUUAUUUUCUCUCUUUAUUAAAAUUUUACAACUUUAUUUAUGUUUGUGUGUGAAAUAUUUAUUGAUUUAUUAUGACGUGUAAUACUAUAUAAUAAUAAUGCCUAAUGCUAAUUUUUAUUAGCAAUUUUUAUUAUAAUUUUUUUUAACAUUUAUUUAGUUAUCAUUUAUUUAGUUAUCAUUAUGACGUGUAUAUAUAUAUAAUAAUUAAUUAAUAAUAUAGAGAGUAAAUUGUUGCCGUGUAAUGUCUCUCUAUUUUUUUAAAUUCACACACGACUUUUGUGGCUAUAAGUUAAGAGUUUAAUUUUUAUUUUUUUUAAUUGUUAGUUUGAGAAUAGUGAGGAAAAUAAGUGUUAAUAUAUUUAUGCUUCCGGGCUGAACUAAAUAUCUGGCGGUUAACAAAUUUAAGGAAUUGAAGAAAAGCCCUAAUUCUUUAACCACAUCUUCUUCUUCCUCCCGAUCGAAACCCCUAAUUUUCAAGAAGCAAACAAUAGAAGGGCAAGCCAUCUACUUUUCUUUGUUCAAGUCAAUUAUACAAGCACAUCUGAACUAUGCGUAUGCUGUUUGUUGAUGAGAUUUUAUUGGUUUCAGGUUCGCCGGCGAAUUUCUUGGCCACAGCAGAGGAUUUCACGUUUCUGCUGUCUUCAAUUAAACAGGGUCUGCACCACGGCGAAAUAUACUCUACUGGUAAAAAAAAUUUAGUCCACCGUUUUCACUAUGAUUCAUCUAUUGCAAAUAUUACAAAUAAAUUAAGUGGUGUAACUAUCCUUUUCGAGAGAAUAGAAGAUCCAACACGAUAGAUACAUAGUUGUUUAAAUAUUCUGUGUGCGGCAAUGUCGCCCAAAUUUAUGGAAUACUUGGAGGUCUGAAGACGUUAGCCCUCAUUCUAAUUCAUGUGCACUGAAUUAUGUUCUAAUUUUCCAUCUGUUAUUGCUUUUCUUAUGGCCUAUAAAAUAAUUUUUUAACUUCAUUUUAAGGUUUCAACUAUUUUAGAUACAUCCCAUUUUGAUUUGGCUCAAGCUCCUGAUGUCUAGUGUUUUUUAUUUGUUUUUUUCGAAAAUGUUAGUAUUAUAUUUUCGUUGUGCAGAUGGAUUUUCGUUGUUUUUUUCGAAAAUGUUAGUAUUACAUUAGAGAUCUAAAGAUAAACCUUGCUCUUCUUCCUUAAAAAACAUAUCAAAAUUUAGGUUGCAAGCUAUUCCUCUUAAUCCUCUACACAAGACAACAAGAGAUGGAAUAGCAUUUCAAGAAUGUUAACUCAUACGUAAUGCACAAGAAAAUUAGGCAACAUAAUACAUAAUCUCAAUGAAGCAUAUCAACUGAAAACAUAUAUAUCAAAAACAUAUAUCAAAAUGAAAACAUAUCAAGUGAAAAUGCACACAUAUCAAAAUGAAAACAUAUCAAAAUGAAAGCAUAUCAACUGAAAACAUAUAUCAAAACAUAUCAACUGAAAACAUAUCAAAACAUAUAAAAAAAGGGAACAUUAGAGAUCUAAAGAUAAACCUUGCAGCAAAUGAGCUAAAGACACUUCCUGCUCCAAAACAGAUAUGAAAGAUAUAAAGACACCAAAUUCUCUCACCCACCUCACCUACAAGUAUCAUCAACAAUAACUAUCAACAUUUUUAGGCUCUACACACAUUUCUAAACAAAAUUCAAAGAAUUAUGGAAACUAUAUGUAUUUCAAUGAGCAAAGCAAGAUGAAAUGAAGCUAUUCACACUCAAAUUCAUUCAGACACCUAAAAUAAUUAGGGAUCAAACCCGCAAAGAAUUUCACGCAGCACUCAAAAUCAAGAACAAUUACCCAGCAAGACUUUUAUGCAAUAUUUCAUAGACAAUAAAAUUUCAGCAAGAUUUCAACAAGAUUUCAGAUAAAAUAGAACCUCUUUGGCAGAUCGUGCUGCACUGCUGCUGUCGCGCCGAGGAGGGGAGGGCCGUUGGUGUCGCUGCUGUUGUCGCGCCGAGGCCGAGCUGGGAAGCAGUCGGUGCCCGGUGACCGGUGGUGGCAGAUGAUGCUAAUGUCGCGCCGGACCGUGCUGCACUGCUGCUGCUGUUAAGAUCGUCGGAUCUUCGCUGGAAAGAUGAGCCGCCGUCGUGUCGGAGUGUGCCGUCGCGCCGGAGUGCGUGUCGCCGGUCGCCGGCAACCGAGAGAGAGAUGAUCGAUUGGGGGUGGCUACUGGCUGCUGCGUGCAGACUGCAGCGUGCUGAGUUAGGCUACUGGCUGCUGCUGAUCGAAUAGGGAGGGAGUUAGGGUUUGUGUGUAAUUCAAAUUCACUAGAGGGUAGGGCUCUAAUGGGCUUAGGAGUUGGGCCAUUUUGUGGGCUCAGAAAUAUAUUUAAUUUUGGGCUUACAUAUAAUAUAUUAUAUAUAUAAUUGUUUGAGCUCGAUUAGGCUCGCGAGCCUAACGAGUCGAGUAUCAAGAAACUCGAACUCGGGCUCGAUACCUAAUCGAGUAGCUCGAGCUCGAGCUCGAGCUCGACUAACAUCGAGUCGAUUUCGAGUAAUUUUCGAGCCGAUCCCGAGUAACUCGCGAGCUAGCUCGACUCACUUACACCCCUAGUUGGGGAGGGGGAGGUGGGGUUUGAACUCGAGAUCUCACUGUUCAUAUGAACACAUGUCGCAUCGCUUGGUGUUCCCUUGGGGUCGGUAGAUAUCAAUUUUUCACAAUUAUCAAAUAAUACGACCAAAUGAUAGGUAGACGUAAUUCACCGAGCUUAUUUAUACUCAAGAAAAUCAUCUGCACACAGCACACUGCACUGAUAAAAAUAAGAACUUAAACACUCCAUUUUUGAAGGAGAAACUUGCCGAGCUAUACAAGAAUAGUAGAAGUAUUCACCGAAAGUGGAUUGAAUUCAAGUUCCGCCGCAGACUGUGGAACAUUCAUUCGCACAAUUCCAUGUCCAAGCAAGGAUUCUACCAGACCGCAAAACAAGUUUUCACCUCAGUAUCUACUUCAAAAUCCAAUCAACACACCGCUAAUUUGAUUGCCAAAUCCCUCAUCAAUUCGACCCCAAAAUCUCUCAAAAUUUCACAAUCUCUCAUUUCCAAACUGAACCCGCAUAUCACACACCAUGUUCUCUCGAACCCACGAAUUCCCAGCUCUUGUUGCCUGCGUUUCUUCAAGUUUCUGCGGACGAAUCAGUCUAUCACUCCUCCAAAACCCGAUCUUGAAUCGCACAUCAUAAUCAUUCUGCGGCUGUUCGGAGCUAGAAAAUUUGCGGAGGCCAAGAAUAUUUUGAGCGCUGCUGUUGUAGACGAAGAUCUUCGAUGCCCGUUUUCGGAACUAACUUCGUUAGUGAGUAAAAGUUGUGUAGAACCCGGUGUAAAGAUUAAAUUAUUUGAUAUGUUAUUUAGGGUUUAUGCUGACAAUAGAAAGUUUGAUGAGGGUUUGGAGGUUUUCGAGUAUAUGGUCAAUAGCGGGUUCGAAAUCGACGAGCGUUCUUGCAUGGUUUAUCUGGUUGCUUUGAAGAAAUGCAACCGUUUUGGCUCCUUGUAUGAUUUCUUUCAGAAAAUGGUAGAAUGCAAUGUGAUGAUUACUGUUUAUUCGAUGACAUUGGUUAUUGAUGGAUUGUGUAAAAGAAAGGAAGUCGAAAAGGCAAGAAAAUUGAUGCACGAUUUGGUUAGAAGAGGGUUAAACCAAGUGCGUAUACUUUCAACACUUUGAUAGAUGCUUAUGUGAAGAAAUCGGAUCACGAGGGAGUGAAAGAGAUCUUGGCUGCCAUGGAGAAAGCAGGGGUGGAUUUCAAUGUGGCCACGUAUACUAUUCGGAUCGAGUGGCAAGCGAAAUAUUUUGGGAUUGAAGAUGCCGUCAAGGUGUUUGAGGAAAUGUCUGAGAGAGGUGUAGAGGCAGAUGUUCAUGUGUAUUCAUUGAUGAUCAGUUUAUACUGUAAAGUAGGUGAUAUUAAGACUGCAUUUGCUUUGUUUGAUGAGUUGGUGGAGAAGGGGGUGGAGCCUAACGUCCUUACCUAUGGUUCGUUGAUACACGGCGUGUGCAAGAUGGGGAACAUGGAGGGAGCGGAAGUCUUGCUCGAUGAGAUGCAGAGCAAAGGAAUAGACCUGAAUCGAGUUAUCUUCAACACGCUGAUGGAUGGCUACUGUAAGCAAGGGAUGAUUGAUGAAGCUUGGAGACUGCAAAGUAUUAUGGAGAAGAAAGGAUUUGAUCCCGAUGUCUACGUGUACAAUAUGAUUGCUAAUGGUUUAUGCAGAUUGAACCGGCAUGAGGAAGCGAAGAAGGUGCUCUUCUCCAUGGGCGUGGCACCAAAUGUGUAUUCUUACACCACAUUGAUCGAUAUAUACAGCAAGGAAGGUAAUCUCGUUGAAGCUAAUAGAACGUUGCACGAGAUGGAGAAGAAUGGAGAGAACCCAAGCGUUGUGACCUACAACGCAUUGAUCCACGGAUACUGCAGAAACAGACAGAUGAAGGAAGCACACCAGUUAAGGAGGAGGAUGGGAGCUAAGGGGCUGCUGCCAGAUAGUUACACGUACACCUCUCUCGUGCAAGGAGAAUGCAUAGCCGGGGAUAUAGACAAGGCGCUGAAGCUCUUCGGAGAGAUGCAGGCGAAGAAUAUAACUCCGGAUUUAAUAGCUUACACUGCAUUGAUAUCAGGGUUGUCCAAAGAGGGGAGAUCAGAAGAGGCUUUCAAAUUGUACGACGAGAUAAAAGAUGCUGGUCUCACGCCCGAUGAUACCGUAUACUCUUGUCUUGUGGGCAGCCUCCAUGCUGCUCAAACUUAGUUUUGAAACCUCAGAUGAGAUCCUGAGAUAUUUACACAAUUGUGAUGUUUUUGUGGCUAUAAGCCUAUAAGCACAUCAUUUAUGUGUAAUAUGCUACAUUGCUUUGUUUAUGUAUCAAACAAGUAAAAUUUUGCUCUAUGACCUUUUGAGGAUGAUCUGAGACAAAACAAGAAUUGGAAAGCAGAUAUAGCAAGGAAAAUGCUUGUUUUAAACUGUGAAACACAACUAAAUAUCCAACAAUUAGCAUUCUACAGGAAAAAAUAAAUUAUGGGGGAAUAAAGUAAAGAAAAGCAAAAAUAGUGGCAGUUUUAUGUACAUUCAUAAGCAGGAGUGCCACAUUGUGAGCAAAUAUAAUACACAGCCCUUUAAACAAUAUAUAUGCAGACUAGAUGAGCAUAUCUUGUAUAAGCUUCUAAGCCCUUUGGCUGUUUAGGCACUGUUUGAGCUUGUACAGCGCUCGGCUUUCAAGUUGUCUAACUCUCUCCUUUGAUAAUCCAAAACCGGCACCAAUUUCAGACAGGGUUUUCUGAUUGCCAUCAUCAAUGCCAAACCUUGAACGAAUUAUCUUCCUCUCCCUAGGGUUGAGCACGCUCAAGAGAUUUCGAACAUGUUGUCUCAUCAGCUGCUUUGAUACGCCCACCUCUGGAAUAUCAAUUGUGGUGUCUGCAGUGAUUUCCUGUAAGAACACAAGGUAAACGUCCUCCAUUAGGGUAAAACGUGUACAAGAUACAGAAGAAUCGACUUUCUCAGAAUUACAUGAAUAUAUUUUAGUCAGUGGCGUACCAAUAACUUCCAGUUAGAAGAUUCACCAGAUGCCCGAAAUAAAAUAAAAAUAAUAAAAUAAUGAUACCUGAAAGGUAGUAGGUUGAUCCAUCCACACGGGCUGUUGCAUGGAAAGAGGCACUCUAGCACUGAAAAGCAAUUUCUCCAUUCUCUCUACUGAUAUUCCAGCACAUGCUGAUAGUUGAUAACUCUUACAAAUACCAUAAUUCUGGCCUGCGUAGCAACUGAAGUUCAAUGUCAUUUUCAUGCUGAUUAGGAUCAACAUCGUCACUCCCAUCAUGAGACAAAGAUGCAGGUCCAAGUUGCCUAUCAAGUGUUUUCUUCGACCAAAGAGGAACAUAAAAAUUAUAUCAAAUAUAGCAGCUCACAUGACUAAGUUGACUAACACUCUAAAGAAGUUAAGUAAUAUCUUGCUGAUUACAUAAUUGAUAACCAAAUGAUUGCAGUGUAGAAGGUGGGAAGAAAAUAUACUAGCGCACCACAACACAUUGUUUCUUUAAUAAGUUGCACUAAUUUGAUAUUUCAGCAUCACACUGAUAAAUUUGCUAAGGAAACAAUCUUACCUCUGACAAAGUUCAUUCAUCUGCUCCGCAUAUAUUAUUCUUCAUCAGCAUCAUUAAUCUAAACUGUAGGAUUUUAAUAUUUGACAUUCCAUAUUUAAUUAUCUCUCUCUCUCUCUCUCUCUCUAUAUAUAUAUAUAUAUAUAUAAUGUACGAAUAGUGUAUUUAGUUAAUAUGGUGAAAUUUUCCCCAUCUCUAGGAUUUGAACUCAAAUUUGGGCUAUUCGUGCAUUACAAACAACUUAUUUGUAGAUUUAUACUGACUUAUUUAUAGAUUUGUAUUGGUGAAUUCAUUAAUUUAAUUCUACACAGUAAAUUUGAAUAAGUUUAUAUCGGUCAUAGAAUCUGAAUAUUUAAUAUUUCAGAUUUAUUUUCAUUUAUCAUCAUAUUUGACAAUCCUCAUUGGAUUCAAAUUUACCAUAUAAAAUGUAAUUAACAAAUAAGUCAAUAUAAGUAUAUGAAUAAGUUAGUAUAAAUCUACAAAUAAGUUGUUUGUAAUGCACGAAUAGUCAUUCGAAUCUAGGUUCGAAUCCUAAAGGGGGUGAAAUUUUCAUCAUAUUAAUUAAAUGCAGAUUUUAUGAAAAUACCCAGUUUUUUCAAAUUUGAUUUUUUGACAAACUUUUUUUUUGUUAGUCAAAAAUUUGAACCCCCCCAACCUAUUGGUUAGAGGAGAAGUGUCUUACCAACAUAUUGUGCUUAAUCGUCAUAUUAAUUAAAUACAUUAUUCGUGCAUUACAAGCAUCUUAAUUAUUUUUAAAUUUAUAUUAACUUAUUUAUUAUUUUUAUUUUUCGCGAAAUAGAACUGCUCUCACCUGAUCCCAACGAUUAUAUAUAUUAUAUCAUGGAGUAAUUUUAAAUCAUCCUCUGAUCUCCAAAUAUUGCAACCUUAAUGCUCACGUCAUAUAUAUGCAGAUUCCUUGUGUUGUUAUAUCUACUAUACUAUUUAAUUAGCUCCAACAUAACGUGCGCAGAUAUGCAUAGCAUAGGUAGAUGUGAUUAAUUAGUUAUCCGGUUAUUGAGGAGUGGUUUUAGUUGUUUCUAUUUAACAAUACUCCUCCAUCUAACAUUGUUCUUAUAGGUCGGCCGGUGUUCUUUUAAGUCAAUCAAAUACACCUAAAUAUCAAAUUACAACCGCUAGCCGCCUUUUCAUUAAAUAAGCCCACACGCAAUGUGACAGAAUAUAUGGUAGGUCAAUCAUUACAAACUUAGGGUUUUUAAUCGUUUAUUGGUUUUCAGCUUACAUUUAGCAUGGAAUUAAUUGUUUAUUGGUUGAACUUCUCUUUUACCAUUUUCACUUGAAUUUUACUCUGUUCGUAAAUACUUCCACCGUCCUCAUUACUUUUAAACACGGAGAUUAAUGAGUGUGUAAAAAUAAAUAAAGUGAAUUGGUAAAAAUUAUUUAAAUACUAGGUAUAGAGAGAAAAUAUAUUAGUACAAAAAAGAAUAAGACAUUAUUAUUAAAACUACCCAAAAAGAAAGUAUGACACUACUAUUGAGACAGAAAGAGUAUAAGUUCUAAACGAUUUUAUACCCGUCUAGUACUUUAAUGUUACAGGAAAGUUCAAACUACUCUUCUCAUUACAUCAUUGCUUUUUACAUCAUCCCUAAGAUAUCACUAUCUUAUGUUUGCCUGAAUAUCACUGAAGAUUUGAGAGUAGUAGAUGAUAUUAUAAAGCAAUGUGAUCAAAGCCCAACAGCAUAAGUUAAUAAAAUAUCAAACAAGCUGAAAAUUGCUGAAAUGCCAGAAGCUAGAGUACAAAUUUUAGCAAAUGGACAUACAUAGUAAGUAGAGCUCUAUAUCUUCUAUUGGCUAAUCUCAUGUACAAGUUUUUGAAGCGCGUCGCUCGUGAGAGGAAUGUACAAGCAGUCUUCACCAUCUGCGUUUCUUCUCGUCUUCACCAAUUCGUGAUCCUUGAAUUCUGUGAGAUGAGCUAUUUAGAGUAAUUUGGCUACUCACCAGAAAACGCUCUCGGCAUACUGUGUAUAAAUUGUUCAAUGGCAUUCCUGCAAGGGAAAAAAACAUCACAUUUGUUAUGCAAAGGCAUAUGUAGUAAUUCACAGUAAGACUUAACCACUUGCCUUCUCCAUCAGGAUUGGCUAGCUGAUGAUCGGCAACAACUUUGAACACGUUUUGAGCAUUUGGCGUCAAACUCUGUAAAACUAUUGAAGCCGUCUUCACAGUUUGUGUGCUGCCACUGUGAGCUAGAAUCGGAGGAAAGAUAUUCCUUCGACCUUGUAGGGUGCAUAGGUAGGAACGUGGUACCAGUACCAAUUGAACUCGGUGUGUACCAUCUUCUUGUUCCAUACUGGUAGAAGCAAUGAAAAAUAUUCAAGAACAACAUUUCCCUAUAUAUAUAUAUCAUCAACAACAGAACUACAAAAUGAGAAGAAACUUACAUAAAGGUGCAUUCACAUGAUAAAUGGAAGCCACCAUGAGAAUAUGAGAACAAGCUGCAAGUCUAGCCAGAAAUUGCUGAGACUCUGAAUCACGCAAACAGGGCCCGUCAAUAUUGUUCACCACAACACAAAUAAAAGAUUCACCAUCCUCCAAAUGUGGGCCAUCCAGAAAUGAAAUAGAUCAUCCAUGGAUUGGGUAUGAAAUGGUUGCUGGUUCUUAACAUGAUUUUCCAAUUUCCUUUGGGUUUUCAACCGCUCCCACAGAAGUUCAGCUAAUGUAACUGUAACCUACAAAUUCCACAUCCAUGAAUUGUUUAGCAUUGUGAGGAUACUGAAAAUUUAUCUUCAAGUCAUCCAUAAAAAGAAUCAGUAUGGAGACAACCAUAUAAAAGUAGUGAAAAAACAUACAUAGGGGAUCCCCGUGUUCUGAUAGAACUGUAACAUUACUCUACAUAACUAGUUAUUAUAAAUGUUGAAUAUCUUAUAAAGAUGAUAUACAAAGAGCAUAGAUGAAAUUACGAUAAUUGUAAAGGGAAGUUACAAGAAAAGGAUGCCAAAUUAAGUUUUGAUUUAGACUACCCAAAAUUUGGUAUUCCUGACUUAAGAUAAUGUUUCCUCUGAACAGUCUUAGACUCGGGCACAAUUUUUUGGCACAGCAAUACAUGGUAAUAUUUCUAGUCGAUCGAGAAAUUCUAUUGGUGGUCAUGUUUUUUUACCAUACCCUUACCCAAAUGUUGUCCAAGGUAGUGAGUGUAUUUCUUCAACAUUUUCAAGAAGGUCCUCGGUCUAUCCUUCAGUCGGCUUUGCUGGUCAUGUGUCUUCAAUCUUCUGCUUCAGUCAACAUCCUUCAUUCUUCAGUCUGGUGCCUUCAGUUAAAGUCNUAUGCAGAUUCCUUGUGUUGUUAUAUCUACUAUACUAUUUAAUUAGCUCCAACAUAACGUGCGCAGAUAUGCAUAGCAUAGGUAGAUGUUGAUUAAUUAGUUAUCCGGUUAUUGAGGAGUGGUUUUAGUUGUUUUUCAUUUACAAAUACUCCUCCAUCUAACAUGUUCUUAUAGGCGGCCCGAUGUUCUUUUAAGCAAUCAAAUACACCUAAAUAUCAAAUUACAACCGCUAGCCGCCUUUUCAUUAAAUAAGCCCACACGCAAUGUGACAGAAUAUAUGGUAGGUCAAUCAUUACAAACUUAGGGUUUUUAAUCGUUUAUUGGUUUUCAGCUUACAUUUAGCAUGGAAUUAAUUGUUUAUUGGUUGAACUUCUCUUUUACCAUUUUCACUUGAAUUUUACUCUGUUCGUAAAUACUUCCACCGUCCUCAUUACUUUUAAACACGGAGAUUAAUGAGUGUGUAAAAAUAAAUAAAGUGAAUUGGUAAAAAUUAUUUAAAUACUAGGUAUAGAGAGAAAAUAUAUUGUCAAAAAAGAAUAAGACAUUAUUAUUAAAACUACCCAAAAAGAAAGUAUGACACUACUAUUGAGACAGAAAGAGUAUAAGUUCUAAACGAUUUUAUACCCGUCUAGUACUUUAAUGUUACAGGAAAGUUCAACUACUCUUCUCAUUACAUCAUUGCUUUUUACAUCAUCCCUAAGAUAUCACUAUCUUAUGUUUGCCUGAAUAUCACUGAAGAUUUGAGAGUAGUAGAUGAUAUUAUAAAGCAAUGUGAUCAAGGCCCAACAGCAUAAGUUAAUAAAAAUACAAACAAGCUGAAAUUUGCUGAAAUGCCAGAAGCUAGAGUACAAAUUUUAGCAAAUGGACAUACAUAGUAAGUAGAGCUCUAUAUCUUCUAUUGGCUAAUCUCAUGUACAAGUUUUUGAAGCGCGUCGCUCGUGAGAGGAAUGUACAAGCAGUCUUCACCAUCUGCGUUUCUUCUCGUCUUCACCAAUUCGUGAUCCUUGAAUUCUGUGAGAUGAGCAUUUAGAGUAAUUUGGCUACUCACCAGAAAACGCUCUCGGCAUACUGUGUAUAAAUUGUUCAAUGGCAUUCCUGCAAGGGAAAAAAACAUCACAUUUGUUAUGCAAAGGCAUAUGUAGUAAUUCACAGUAAGACUUAACCACUUGCCUUCUCCAUCAGGAUUGGCUAGCUGAUGAUCGGCAACAACUUUGAACACGUUUUGAGCAUUUGGCGUCAAACUCUGUAAAACUAUUGAAGCCGUCUUCACAGUUUUGUGUGCUGCCACUGUGAGCUAGAAUCGGAGGAAAGAAUAUUCCUUCGACCUUGUAGGGUGCAUAGGUAGGAACGUGGUACCAGUACUAAUUGAACUCGGUGUGUACCAUCUUCUUGUUCCAUACUGGUAGAAGACAAUAGAAAAUAAUUCUAAGAACAACAUUCCUAUAUAUAUAUAUAUCAUCAACAACAGAACUACAAAAUGAGAAGAAACUUACAUAAAGGUGCAUUCACAUGAUCAAUGGAAGCCACCAUGAGAAUAUGAGAACAAGCUGCAAGUCUAGCCAGAAAUUGCUGAGACUCUGAAUCACGCAAACAGGGCCCGUCAAUAUUGUUCACCACAACACAAAUAAAAGAUUCACCAUCCUCCAAA
rnacentral:lncRNA from 1 species